AAAUUUUCUCCAUGGGACAGUCUAGGGCGCAAGGGUGUCCUGACUCUGGCAAUGUGACUGACAUCCCUAAGGAUGACCUCUGCUCCACAGGACUGAGUGGAGGCCAAUCCCAAGAGGUUAAGGAACACGUUUUCCUUGAAACAGCAGGCACCGGCCAACGCCUGAUUUUACUGCUCUGCACCCUGCGGGUCAGGCAGUUAAACAUCUGCAAAGAACAAGAGAUAACACCCUGUGUGGGGCCCAGUGGAGUUUUCCAGAGGCUACAUGGCAUAUAAUAUCAUCAUUCUCACAACUAAUGAAAGUUAUAGAAUCACAGUAUCCUCUGUCAUCUACCAGAGUUAACCGACAGAGAUAAGGACAGAAGGGCGACCUCCAUUUAUCUCCUUUUUUCUUCAUGGGCUGAAUCCUGAGGGACCUCCAGGAGCCAUCUCCAGCCCCCUGGCCUGAAGGAAGAGCUGAAAUAAUUUCCACAGAAAACUCAUGUCUUAGAAACAAGGAAAUGGUGCCUAUUAU